rnacentral:rRNA from 1 species
UUCCAGACUCCUACGGGAGGCAGCAGUGAGGAAUAUUGGUCAAUGGGCGGGAGCCUGAACCAGCCAAGUCGCGUGAGGGAAGACGGUCCUAUGGAUUGUAAACCUCUUUAGGCGGGGAGCAAUGCCGGGCACGCGUGUCCGGAGGGAGAGUACCCGCAGAAUAAGCAUCGGCUAACUCCGUGCCAGCAGCCGCGGUAAUACGGAGGAUGCGAGCGUUAUCCGGAUUUAUUGGGUUUAAAGGGUGCGCAGGCGGAAGAUCAAGUCAGCGGUAAAAUUGAGAGGCUCAACCUCUCCGAGCCGUUGAAACUGGUUUUCUUGAGUGAGCGAGAAGUAUGCGGAAUGCGUGGUGUAGCGGUGAAAUGCAUAGAUAUCACGCAGAACUCCGAUUGCGAAGGCAGCAUACCGGCGCGCAACUGACGCUCAUGCACGAAAGCGUGGGUAUCGAACAGGAUUAGAUACCCUCGUA